rnacentral:rRNA from 1 species
AGACCCGAAACCCGGUGAUCUAGCCAUGGGCAGGUUGAAGGUUGGGUAACACUAACUGGAGGACCGAACCGACUAAUGUUGAAAAAUUAGCGGAUGACCUGUGGCUGGGGGUGAAAGGCCAAUCAAACCGGGAGAUAGCUGGUUCUCCCCGAAAGCUAUUUAGGUAGCGCCUCGUGAAUUCAUCUCCGGGGGUAGAGCACUGUUUCGGCUAGGGGGCCAUCCCGGCUUACCAACCCGAUGCAAACUGCGAAUACCGGAGAAUGUUAUCACGGGAGACACACGGCGGGUGCUAACGUCCGUCGUGAAGAGGGAAACAACCCAGACCGCCAGCUAAGGUCCCAAAGUCAUGGUUAAGUGGGAAACGAUGUGGGAAGGCCCAGACAGCCAGGAUGUUGGCUUAGAAGCAGCCAUCAUUUAAAGAAAGCGUAAUAGCUCACUGGUCGAGUCGGCCUGCGCGGAAGAUGUAACGGGGCUAAACCAUGCACCGAAGCUGCGGCAGCGAACGUAUCACUUAAAGCGAUUCAGCGGGUUACGAUUGACGGAGCGAAGCGACGUCAAAGCGUAUACAAAGUCGAGUCGGUUUAAGGAUACGUUCGUUGGGUAGGGGAGCGUUCUGUAAGCCUGUGAAGGUGUGUCGUGAGGCAUGCUGGAGGUAUCAGAAGUGCGAAUGCUGACAUAAGUAACGAUAAAGCGGGUGAAAAGCCCGCUCGCCGGAAGACCAAGGGUUCCUGUCCAACGUUAAUCGGGGCAGGGUGAGUCGACCCCUAAGGCGAGGCCGAAAGGCGUAGUCGAUGGGAAACGGGUUAAUAUUCCCGUACUUGGUGUUACUGCGAAGGGGGGACGGAGAAGGCUAUGUUGGCCGGGCGACGGUUGUCCCGGUUUAAGCGUGUAGGCUGGUUUUCCAGGCAAAUCCGGAAAAUCAAGGCUGAGGCGUGAUGACGAGGCACUACGGUGCUGA